CAGAGCUGCUUGAGGGUUGCUCUGAGUUCUCUGUCAGGUUUCUCUCCAGGUUUUGUCAAGGGUUUUGUUUCAAGGAAACCUCAGAGUAUUUUGCUUCUUUUUUGCUUUUUCUGUCUGAUCUCCCUCUUUUAUAACCUGAUUUUCAUGGCUUUGUGGACUCAAAUGGGAGAGGUCCAAGUCCAAGUUUUUUCUAUUAUAUUUUAUUUAUUUAUUUAUUUAUUUUUGUAAAAAAUUAUUAUUAUUAUUUAUUUAUUUAUUUAUUUAUUUUUUUCGUUUUAUUUAUUUAUCUAUUUUUUUC
rnacentral:lncRNA from 1 species